AGUAAUGAAGAAAAAUAGUUUAUAUUAUUGUUUGUCUCAUAGCAGUUGUUCGUUUGCAAUGCAGAGAAAACUUAUUUGAAAUGGAUUCUCAAGAUACAAAGUAUACAUGGCCCUAGCGCUCCUUUGCCUUUUCUCAAAUCCAUUGAGGUGUUUAUCUGUUAACAGAAGUGUUGGUCAUUGGAGAAUUCAGCAUUCCUGGCUAUUAUGAGGCAUUCUGGAAGGAGUUGGAUGGUGUCAAGCAAAUCUGGAAGAACAGAAAGCAAAUCUGGAAGAACAGAAAGGAACUUAAAUAGAUUAAUAAUCAUGUAUCGAUGAAUUACAUUCUUUCCUAGAAGUGUCAUAGCCAUUGUAAAUAAUUUAUGUAAACAUUUGUAAAUAAUUUAUGUAUCUCUCUACUAUUUUGGUGAAUGUAUUAUUUGAA